CAAGGGUUAGAGUAAUUAAUAUGGGUUUCUGCAGCAGACGUUCUAUGGUAAUAGUCAGUAGUCAAGAGAUAUGUAUGAUGAACAUCAUGGAUUAAGAUACCUA